rnacentral:rRNA from 1 species
UACGUAGGGUGCAAGCGUUAAUCGGAAUUACUGGGCGUAAAGCGUGCGCAGGCGGUUUUGUAAGUCAGAUGUGAAAUCCCCGGGCUUAACCUGGGAACUGCGUUUGAAACUACAAGGCUAGGGUGUGGCAGAGGGGGGGUGGAAUUCCACGUGUAGCAGUGAAAUGCGUAGAGAUGUGGAGGAACACCGAUGGCGAAGGCAGCCCCCUGGGUUAACACUGACGCUCAGGCACGAAAGCGUGGGGAGCAAACAGG